rnacentral:rRNA from 1 species
ACGCUAGCUACAGGCUUAACACAUGCAAGUCGAGGGGAAACGGCAUUAAGUGCUUGCACUUUUUGGACGUCGACCGGCGCACGGGUGAGUAACGCGUAUCCAACCCUCCCAUGACUAAGGGAUAACCUGCCGAAAGGCAGACUAAUACCUUAUGGUCUUCACUGACGGCAUCAGAUGUGAAGUAAAGAUUUAUCGGUUAUGGAUGGGGAUGCGUCUGAUUAGCUUGUUGGCGGGGUAACGGCCCACCAAGGCAACGAUCAGUAGGGGUUCUGAGAGGAAGGUCCCCCACAUUGGAACUGAGACACGGUCCAAACUCCUACGGGAGGCAGCAGUGAGGAAUAUUGGUCAAUGGGCGAGAGCCUGAACCAGCCAAGUAGCGUGCAGGAUGACGGCCCUAUGGGUUGUAAACUGCUUUUGUAUGGGGAUAAAGUCAAUCACGUGUGAUUGUUUGCAGGUACCAUACGAAUAAGGACCGGCUAAUUCCGUGCCAGCAGCCGCGGUAAUACGGAAGGUCCGGGCGUUAUCCGGAUUUAUUGGGUUUAAAGGGAGCGUAGGCUGGAGAUUAAGUGUGUUGUGAAAUGUAGACGCUCAACGUCUGACUUGCAGCGCAUACUGGUUUCCUUGAGUACGCACAACGUUGGCGGAAUUCGUCGUGUAGCGGUGAAAUGCUUAGAUAUGACGAAGAACUCCGAUUGCGAAGGCAGCUGACGGGAGCGCAACUGACGCUGAAGCUCGAAGGUGCGGGUAUCGAACAGGAUUAGAUACCCUGGUAGUCCGCACAGUAAACGAUGGAUGCCCGCUGUUGGUACCUGGUAUCAGCGGCUAAGCGAAAGCAUUAAGCAUCCCACCUGGGGAGUACGCCGGCAACGGUGAAACUCAAAGGAAUUGACGGGGGCCCGCACAAGCGG